rnacentral:rRNA from 1 species
ACUUUUAACAACAGAUCUCUUAGUUCUAGCAUUAAUAAAGAACGCAGCAAAAUGCAAUAAGUAGUGUGAAUUGCAGAAUUUAGUAAAUUAUUAAAUCUUUAAACGCAUAUUGCGCCCCUUAGUAUUCUAUAGGGUAUGCCUAUUUAAGCGUUAUUUGUACCCUUAAGCUCUACUUAGUGUUAGGUGUUUAUUCUACUUAGGACUUGCCUUAAAACAAUUAGUAGCUAGCAUAUUAGCCUAGAGCGCAGCAUAUUUUACGCCUCUUGUUAUAGUUGUUAGUAUCUAUUAAGACACCUUUUAAGCUCUUAACCUUAGAUUAGGUAGGGAUACCCGCUAAACUUAAGUAUAUUAAUAAGCAGAGGAAAAGAAACUAAUAGGGAUUGCCCUAGUAACAGCGAGUAAAGCGGUAAUAGCUUAAAUUUAAAAUCUAGCUCUUUUAGGGUCUAAGUUAUAAUUUGUAGAGGGCGCUUUAGCGUUAGCAGUAGUCUAAGUUCCUUAGAAUAGGACGUUAUAGAGGGUAAGAAUCCUAUACGUAGUCGCUAGCCUUUGCCGUGUAAAGCCCCUUUAACAAGUCAAGUUAUUUAGGAAUGUAGCUCUAAAUAGGAGGUAAAUUUCUUCUAAAGCUAAAUACUAGCUAGAGACUAAUAGCGUAUAAGUAGAGUAAUUAAAAGAUAAAAAGCACUUUAGAAAGAGAGUUAAAUAGCACGUAAAAUUGUUAAAAGGGAAGCGCUUGCAGCUAGACUUGCCUGUAGUUACUUAUCUAGGCUUUUGUCUAGUGCACUCUUCUAUAGGCAGGCUAGUAUUAGUUUAGGUAGUUAGAUAAAGGUCUCUGUCACGUACCUCCCUUUAGGGAGGCCUUAUAGGGGAGACAAUAUGUAACUAGCCUAGACUAAGGUCCGCGCAUCUACUAGGAUACUAGCGUAAUAGCUAUAAGCGGCCUAUCUUAAAAUACAGACUAAGGAGUCUAAUAUCUAUACAAGUGUUUAGGUGUUAAGCCUAGACGUGUAAUAAAAGUAAACAGAGGUAGGAACCCUUUUAGGGUGCACUAUUAACCAAUCCUAAUAUCUUUAGAAGGAUUUAAGUAAGAGUAUAGCUAUUAGGACCUAAAAGAUAGUAAACUAUGCUUAAAUAGGGUAAAGCUAGAGGAAACUCUAGUAGAGGCUCGUAGCAGUUCUAACGUGCAAAUUAAUUGUUAAAUUUAGGCAUAGGGGCAAAAGACUAAUUAAACUAUCUAGUAGCUAGUUCCUGCUAAAGUUUCCCUUAGGAUAGUAGUAACGUAUUUAGUUUUAUAAGGUAAAGCAAAUAAUUAGAGGCCUAGGGGUUAAAAUAACCUUUACCUAUUCUUAAACUUUAAAUAUAUAAGAAGUCCUUAUUACUUAAUUAAAUAUAGAGACUUAAAUAUACUAUUACUAGUAGGCUAUUUUUAGUAAGCAGAACUAGCAAUGCAGGAUAAACCAAACGCGGGGUUAAGGUGCUAGAAUGCACGCUUAUUAGACACUACAAAAGGUGUUAGUUUAUCUAGAUAGCAGGAUAGUAGCUAUAGAAGUUAGAAUCUACUAAGGAGUGUAUAAUAACUUACCUACUAAAUAAACUAGCCCUAAAAAUAGAUAGCGCUUAAGCAUGUUACCUAUACCCUACUAGUAGGGCAAGAUUUAAGCCCUAGCAAGUAGGCAGGCGUAGAGGCUUGUAACAAAGCCUUAGGGGUAACCCUAGGUAGAAUAGCCUCUAGUGUAGAUCUUAGUAGUAGUAGCAAAUACUUAAAUAAGAACUUUAAGGACUAAAGUAGGGAAAGGUUCUAUAUAAACAGCAGUUAGACACAGGUUAGUUAAUCCUAAGAGAUAGGGUAAUUCUAUUUUAAUGUUAGUGCUUGCGCUAUACCCUUAAAAGGGAAGCUAGUUAAUAUUCUAGCACCUAGAUAUAGAUUCUCCGCGGUAACGCAACUAAGAGUGGAGACCUUAGCAGGAGCCCUAAGAAGAGUUCUCUUUUCUUCUUAACAGUCUGUUACCCUAAAAUUAGUUUAUCUAGAGCUAGGGUUUAAUAGCUAGAAGAGUGCUACACUUUUAUAGUAUUUAGUGCGCUCCUAAUAAGUCUUAAAAAUCUACUUAAAGAAAUAGUUUUUACGCUAGGUUGUACUUAUAACUGUAGUAGGUCUCUAAGGUAAAAAGCCUCUAGUUAAUAGAAUAAUAUAGAUAAGGAAAGUUAGCAAAAUAGAUCUGUAACUUUAGGAAAAGGAUUAGCUCUAAGGGUUAGGUACGUUAGGCCUUAGGGAGAAGCCUCUAGCGUAGAAGGGCACUAACUGCAAGGUAGGCGCCUCUUAGUGCUAGGGUGCAGACACCCUUAGCAGGUUUUAGCUAUCUAGCGUACAUUUAACAACUAACUUAGAACUAGUAUAGAUAAGGGGAAUCUAACUAUCUAAUUAAAAUAUAGCAUUACAAUAGCUAGAAAGUAGUAUUAAUAUAAUAUAAUUUCUGCCUAGUGCUCUAAAUAUUAAAGUAAAGAGAUUUGACUAAGCGCGGGUAAAUGGCGGGAGUAACUAUAACUCUCUUAAGGUAGCUAAAUGCCUUGUUAUCUAAUUAGUAACGCGCAUAAAUAGAUUAACAAGAUUCCUACUAUCCCUAUCUACUAUCUAGCGAAACCAUAGCUAAGGGAACAGGCUUAGCUAAAUUAGCGGGGAAAGAAGACCCUAUUAAGCUUGACUCUAGUUUAACAUUGUGAAAAGACAUAGGGGGUGUAGAAUAGGUAGGAGCUUUAGCGCUAGUAAAAUACUACUACCCUUAUUAUUUUUUUACUUAUUUAAUAAAGCAGAGCUAGGCCUUACUACCUAACUUCUAGCGUUUAAGGUUCUUUAUAGGCUAAUCUAGGUUAAAGAUAUUAUUAGGUAGGGAGUUUAGCUAGGGCGGCAUAUCUAUUAAACUAUAACGCAGGUGUCCUAAGGGGGACUUAUAGAGAAUAGAAAUCUCUAGUAGAGCAAAAGGGCAAAAGUCCCCUUAAUUUUAAUUUUUAGUGUAAAUACAAACUAUAAAAGUAUAGCCUAUUAAUCCUUUAGUCCCUUAAAAUUUAAGGCUAGAGGUGCUAGAAAAGUUACUACAGGGAUAACUAGCUUAUAGUAGCCAAGCGUUUAUAGCGACGUUGCUUUUUAAUCCUUUAAUAUUAGCUCUUCCUAUUAUACUAAAGCAGAAUUUAGUAAGCGUUAGAUUAUUUACCUACUAAUAGGGAACAUAAGCUAGGUUUAGACUAUUAUAAGAUAGGUUAGUUUUACCCUACUAAUAACCUUGCCCUAAUAGUAAUACUGCUUAGUAUAAGAGGAACCGCGGUUUUAGAUAAUUAGUUUUUGCGGCUAUCUAACUAGGUAUUACUGCAAAGCUACUAUCUACUAGAUUAUAGCUAAACAACUCUAAGUUAGAAUCUAUGCUAGAAUAGGGUGAUUUCCGCCUGCACUAGUUAGAUACAAAUAGGCCUUUGGCCUAGAACCUUACUAGAUUAGCGUUAGCAGCCCUAUUAAAGUUAGGGUUGUUAGCUAGUGUAUUGCAAUUGUACAGUACGUAGGAUUAAAUCCUUUAUAGAUAACUUAGUUGUCUAGCUAGGUUGUGUAAGUAGUUAAGUAGCCUUGUUAUUAUAAGCUACUAAGCGUAAGCCUAUUGCUAGCUUAGUUAAAAUUAGGAUAUUAUGCCCUCCUUAUUUGCAAAACUGCUGCCUAAACAGCUGCUAUUAAUAGAAGGAAGAGGGCUAUAGCAAAGAAGUUAUAUAGUAAUUGCAAGAUAGAGAGGGCUAGAGCUAGGAGUAAUCCUCGUAAAAUAUACAAAAGAACAGGUUAUGUGUGUACAUACCUUAGGCAGUUAAUAUAUAGUAUAGGAAGAUUAAGAAAGGAUUUAAGAUAAUCUAUAUAGAUUUUUAGGCGGUGAUCUAUAACUUAAGAGCGUUCUAUAACUUUUUAUUUUUUAGGGGUACUAUUCUAUAACUUUAUAGCCUUCUAUACUUAAAAAUUCCUCUAGGCUAUUCUAUAACUAUAGAUUAUUUAAACCUUUAGGGUAUUCUAUUAAUAUUUAAAAAAAUCCUAUAGGCUAUUCUAUAAGCUUAGGGCGUUCUAUAACUUUAGGGCGUUCUAUAACUUUAGGGCGUUCUAUAACUUUAGGGCGUUCUAUAACUUUUUAUUUUUUAGGGUUAGUAUUCUAUAAUAUUAGAGUGUUCUAUAACGUUUUUCUUUUUUUAGAGGUAGUGUUCUAUAAUAUUAGAGUGUUCUAUAACUUUUUCUUUUUUAGAGGUAGUGUUCUAUAACUUUAGGGCGUUCUAUAACUUUUUAUUUUUUAGGGGUAGUGUUCUAUAACUCUAGGGCGUUCUAUAACUUUUUAUUUUUUAGGGUUAGUAUUCUAUAAUAUUAGAGUGUUCUAUAACUUUUUCUUUUUUAGAGGUAGUGUUCUAUAAUAUUAGAGUGUUCUAUAACUUUUUAUUUUUUAGGGUUAGUAUUCUAUAAUAUUAGAGUGUUCUAUAACUUUUUCUUUUUUAGAGGUAGUGUUCUAUAACUUUAGGGCGUUCUAUAACUUUAGGGCGUUCUAUAACUUUUUAUUUUUUAGGGGUAGUGUUCUAUAACUUUAGGGCGUUCUAUAACUUUUUAUUUUUUAGGGGUAGUGUUCUAUAACUUUAGGGCGUUCUAUAACUUUUUAUUUUUUAGGGGUAGUGUUCUAUAACUUUUAGGCGUUCUAUAACUUUUUAUUUUUCUAGGACGUUAGUAUUCUAUAAUAUUAGAGUGUUCUAUAACUUUUUCUUUUUUAGAGGUAGUGUUCUAUAAUAUUAGAGUGUUCUAUAACUUUUUAUUUUUUAGGGUUAGUAUUCUAUAACUUUAGGGCGUUCUAUAACUUUUUCUUUUUUAGAGGUAGUGUUCUAUAACUUUAGGGCGUUCUAUAACUUUUUAUUUUUUAGAGGUAGUGUUCUAUAACUUUAGGGCGUUCUAUAACUUUUUCUUUUUUAGAGGUAGUAUUCUAUAACUUUUGGGCGUUCUAUAACUUUUUAUUUUUUAGGGGUAGUGUUCUAUAACUUUAGGGCGUUCUAUAACUUUAGGGCGUUCUAUAACUUUAGGGCGUUCUACAACUUUUUAUUUUUUAGGGGUAGUGUUCUAUAACUUUAGGGCGUUCUAUAACUUUAGGGCGUUCUAUAACUUUAGGGCGUUCUACAACUUUUUAUUUUUUAGGGGUAGUGUUCUAUAACUUUAGGGCGUUCUAUAACUUUUUCUUUUUUAGAGGUAGUGUUCUAUAACUUUAGGGCGUUCUAUAACUUUUUAUUUUUUAGGGGUAGUGUUCUAUAAAUCUAGGGCGUUCUAUAACUUUUUAUUUUUUAGGGUUAGUAUUCUAUAAUAUUAGAGUGUUCUAUAACUUUUUCUUUUUUAGAUGUAGUGUUCUAUAAUAUUAGAGUGUUCUAUAACUUUUUCUUUUUUAGGGUUAGUAUUCUAUAACUUUAGGGCGUUCUACAACUUUUUAUUUUUAGGGGUAGCGUUCUAUAACUUUAGGGCGUUCUAUAACUUUAGGGCCUUCUAUAAGCUUAGGGCGUUCUAUAACUUUAGGGUGUUCUAUAACUUUAGGGCGUUCUAUAACUUUUUAUUUUUUAGGGUUAGUGUUCUAUAACUUUAGCGCGUUCUAUACCUUUUAUUUAUUCUAUUACUUUAGUCCUUUCUAUAACUUUAGACUAUUCUAUACUAGUAGCUAUUUUAUCCUUUUUAUAAUACUUAUUAUAUCAUACUAUUAUCUAUUAUUCUUUACUGUUAAGUAUAUCCUUAUAUUUUAUAAAACCUUUUCUCUACUAGCUAGUCCUACUAUACUUUCUUUUAUAACCUACUAGUAUUAAAUAAUACCUUUAUAUUCUUCUUUUAUACUAUCUCUAUUUCUUGCCUUAUCUAUUAAGUAGAUAUAGAUAGAGCUAAUAGAUCUAUAGUUAAUAUAGAUACAGUAGUUAUAGUAGAGUAUAGAUAUUAGAGUAGAUAUCCUUAUCUAUAUAUUUACCUACUACUAAUAAAAUUCUAAGUUACUCUUAUCUAGCAAAUACAGGUUUAUAGUUUGUAUAGGGCUGCGCAUGUCUACACGGUUUUAUAUACAAAAAAGUGUACCUCUAAGCUAUUUUCUACCGCACUAACCCUGCAACGCAAAAAUUAAACUAAAACCCGUUCCUAUAAUAUAUAAGGAGGGUAAAUAGAUUCUUAAAUACUAAAUACCUAACUAACUAACUAAGGUUAAAUCUGCUACGCGUAGUUCUUGGAUCAGGCGGUUAAACUAGCGUUAUUAGGUACUAAGGGGGCAAUUUUUGCUUGUGUCUGCGUCUAUACUCCCUAUAACUCCCUAUUAUUAGCGCUCUGCGCCUGUUUUAGCAGCAGUUAGACUAAAUUUAAAAGUUUUAGUUUUAUAAUAGCUAGCCUUGUUUCCUAGAUUUCUGCCUAGUUUAGAUUCGCUCUAAUUAGUAGGUAAAUAGGGGCUUAGAGAUUGCUCUUCUACUUAACUAGGCAGGCCUAGGCCUAUAUGCUAAAGCAACCCUGCUAUUACGCCUAGUUUUGUGGUUAGCACCUAAAGUCCUACUAUUAAAGUUUUAGCAGUAGGCAAAAUUUAGGGUCUGUAGAUAGCUAGCACUACUAAACUAUUUAAUAGAUCUUAGGGGAUAGCCCUGCCUAGCAUCCGCUCCUAGUAAGCGUAGUAAAGCGUAGGUUUUCUCUACUUAAGGUAUAUAUAUAGCAAGUUUAAACACAUAGAAAUACCUAUUAGGCUUUAUUGUAGACUAUUCCUUAAGAAACUUAGUAGGGGCAAUUAAAUUAGUUACUAGUUGUAACUAGUGCCUUGUGUGCUAUUAUGCUAGUAGCUAGAAUUGCUUCUGCGAUUUCUUAUUACGUACUUUCCGCCUCCUUUUAGGGGUAGUGCUUGUGCGCUUUAGCGUAUUAGGUAUUAGGAUUGUUACCUAGUUAAUUCUGCUAGUAGUUAUAUACUUGU